UUUUUUUGUCCUUUACACUGUGCUACAGGCCAUUAAAGCAAGAACACAAAAAAAUGAAGGACAUGUUUUUGACCGGCUACAGUUGUUCUUGCUGUCUUAUGUUACAGUCUUAAUACUGACUCAGUGUCCAAUGCAACACCAGAGAUAUCCUUUUCAGCGUGCAAUUCAGCAGAAAGAAUUGGAUAAUUUUGGCAUUCUAGCAUAUUCCGUAAGCGGGCUUGUAGCAAGACACUUAUGUAACAGAGAAAAAAGAAAAGUUGCCUGAGUUGUUCAGAGAGCAUUUCCAAACAUAACAGUCUCUCAAGCAUCUGAAGGACAUCUCCAUGGCAGCUGAAAAGCAUCUCUGCAGCUUCACAUUUUGACCUGGACACAUCAGUAUUAAGAAGAUAGACUGGAAGAUGCUGAGAAAAGAGAAGCCAGUUUAAUGAAAGGAACUGGAACAUCCAAAAAAAAUAAAAUUACUGAAAAUUAUAUCUCUUGUAGAUAAUUUUAGCCAAAACUCUGUAUAGACACAGACUGAAAUUACAAUGUGAAGCGAGUAAAAAAUAAGGAAAGAAGGCCAGAAUUCAGUAUAUCUGUUUCCGAUCAUUCAUUGGAAAUCAACUCUGAAUAAGAAAAAAUAACAUACAGAUUUCCAGGCCUUUGAAAAAUGCCAAAAUAUUUCCACAGCUGCUAUUUCUGAUCUGAAGGACAUUGUCAGUUGCCUCAUUUAUUGAGAGGAUUUUUGCAGAGAAGACAUAGAUAGAAAUUAACAGCAAAAUGAACCCCGGACUUUUGGAUGAUUUAAAUAAAUGGUGCUUAUUUUUAGGUGUUGUCCCCUGAGACAACAGCACUGAAWCCAGAUAGAGAUGAGAAGCUUUCUUUUCCAGGGCAAGACAGGAAGGAAAUCACCCAGACCAACAGUAUAUUUCUAAAAGCUAUUCUCCAAUCUACUCAGAUCCACGCACACAGUAUGGAGACACAGGAAAUGAACUGCACUCAUUGAGGCACUCUGCACCUGCAUUGCAAGUGUUUGUGGAAAAUGGCACAGAAAAGAAGAAUUACAGAAAUGUUUUAAGAUGCCCUCUGUUGCAUUUCACUGAUGACCAUGGAAACAAGCUGUUAUUUCAAGCUUAAUCCCAGUCAUAGAGCUGACACAGGAUGGAUGGCAUGAUGGGGAGGAACAAGGAUGAAAGCUCAGRACAACAGGCAGUCAGGCAAUAUCCUAUGGAUGCCCCAGAGCAGCACUCCUUUAUUGCCACACAAACCUUCACCAUACAAGCCAUCCUUCUUCAGCACUACCAGUGCAAGGGACAGAGCUGCUGCACAGUCUGGGAUGGACCCAACUAUGGAUACUCUAUGGAUACUGCCUUAGGAAGACUCUCCUGAAUCACUCCAUCCUCCCGCCCAUACAYGACACAAAUCCCUCAGUAUAAGUAUUAAAGUUUUAUAUAGAAGAUUACCUAAGAAGAAAGAAAAAUAGAGACUGGAGUAGAAGGAAGCAUAAGAGCACAGGUGUGACAAGAAGACCAAGCUUUUCUAGUAGCUCAAUUUUGUCAAAUAAAGAAAAAAGGAUGGAGUGAAUAAGGCAGCAUGUGGAAGAAAGAAGUCACAGGGAGAUGUUUAGAACAAUGAACACCUUAUUUUGAUGACUAAGAAGAAAUAUCCUUUUAAGAAAAUGUAGUAAAUCUGCAACAACCACAUGUGAAAUAAUGUAAGAAAGAAACUAUAGAAUCAGUUUAUUUUGUGAUMCAAAUCACAAAAUAAUUUCACUUUAUAAAUAAUUAAACUUGUUAAGCAAAUUCCUCUUGCUAAACACCAAUGUGACUAAGUUGUUAAAACAUUGGACUCAUUUAGUAAUGGCUAACUACCUAUACUGAAAGGCUAAAUAAAUAAUGUCUGUUGAGAUUUUAGUUAUACUCUUCUCAUGCUUUUGUUUACCACAAAUCGUGUGCCAAGUUUCAGAACAGUUUCUCAAGUCAUUGUGCUCAGUAGGCAUUUAUUCACCUGUUGUGCUCAGGGCACAGUUAAAACACAAUACCUGCUUCUCCAGUAAUAUUUGCCUUUGAUAUAUGUCCAUUG